GCCGGGAUGGUGGAAUUGGCAGACACAACGGACUUAAAAUCCGUUGCUCCUGUUGGGGCGUGAGGGUUCAAGUCCCUCUCCCGGCACCA
rnacentral:tRNA from 1 species